CAAUGAGAUCUAUCUCUAAUGAUGCACAGACGCGCAUGCGCUCCACGCCAUACUGCUAGCCCCGUAUCUAAGUCAAUAUGUGCGUACAUAGAAAGGAUGCAUAACUUCUCUAUGUCGUAGCACAAGAGGGUCCAGGAUUCAGAGAUGGAGAUGGCAGCACUUUAUGGAAAUAGGAGAGCGGACAAGUGGGUCCCCCGGAGAAGAAAGAAAGAAACAUAUGUGUGGUCUAGAUUCGACUUCCCUGGUCCCAGAGAUGUGAUCGGAUAAUCUAAUAAGGAUCUGGAUAAACUCCAUGGUCAGAGAAUUUGAUAAUGAUCUGGACAGAAUCCACAAAUAUACUAGAGCCAAACGAAGAUGAACACUGGAUGUUGUGCAUUCUAUAGGGGUACAGAGGAACCGUGAUAGGCCCACAGGCCAGUGACGUAUUUAUGAACUCAUACAGGACUAAGGAGCAAGAACAAUUUUGCAUAAUACAACCUAUUGUGGAGAGGUAUGAGUGACAAAUGAACAAAUUUAUGCCUCAGAGGGAUCUCUACUUUGGAGCUAUGAAUCUCUCUUGGGAAUUGAGGAGCAGGAAUCGCGUUACUAUGUGUUGAAAAUGAACUCUCGUUUCAGAGAUUUUUCCUCUUACAGAAACUAGUUUGGAUCCAGGGACAUACUAUGACUUAAUAAUUGAUGUUCAACUGGUCCAAGGGGCAUGCUAUUGCAUGCACAAGAAUGCCUUUGUUAUUCUCACAUUGAAUGUACAACCAUUUAUUAACAUAAAUAUAAUAACAAAUUAUACAGUA